rnacentral:misc_RNA from 1 species
CUACUACUACUGCCCAUAAGUCAUGACAGGCAAAAAUCAAACAACUGAGAAGGACAGAAAACAACCCUCCCUAUUUGAAUUUACAAGGAAUUAGAAAUCUAAAUAAUCAACGGUCCAAAAGCAAAAGAAGGGAAUGCUGUGUGUCCAAAUCUCAUUGUUUGAUGGCCCCUUUAAGAUGCCAAAACUUUCUUUACAGGGAGAACGCUGCGGUCAUUGUUUGAAAAGCAGGAAACGACAUGUCGUGUAACCAAGAUGCGACGUAGAUGGUCUCCGAGCGGACAUUAAGGGCCCCGGUAUCGGCCAUUGCUUUUGUUUUUUUGGGCGUGAUGUGUGGCCACAUUCCACAAAUCAGCUACAGUAUGUGAGCUUUAUUAAUUGGGCCAUUCUGAAAGGCAAAGCCCUUCAACAAAAGUGUCCUUCCGAACCAUGUUUGACAUUUGCAGUCCCACAUCCAUCAUCUAUCUCAGGAACACUGGAAUAUAAUUUAUGUUCCUUUCUGAUAUAUGAACAUAUAAAGCCCAUACAUGUGUGAGUUGUACAAGUGUAGAUCCAGGAUCUUCCUGCCUUCAGAAAAGAAGUUGCCCUAAUCAUCUAGAUGAGGUAAAUACCCCCAAAUUUACAUGGCAAUGAGAAGAGUUCUGAGUUCAAACAAUGACUCCACUGAAAAAAGACAGCUGUAUGUACUCGCUAUUUAUGAUCUGCAUCAGAUUCUGCUGAAUGGGGUGGGAAGUUUAUAAAUAGGAUAGCGCUACUCAUCUAACUAAUCAGUUUAAUGGUGAGAAAUUAUCUCUAGAAUUGUAACUUUUCAAAUUUAAGUCUUGAUCUGAGCCAGCCAUUUGCAGGUACUCCCGGUUUUUAAAAUUUCUAUGGCUACUCAUAACGUAACUAUAACCAAAAAAUUGAUCUUAG